rnacentral:rRNA from 1 species
AUGAGUGCUGCUAAUCGUUCCCAACCGAUCAAGUUGAACAGGCCUGUCGUAGGCAAAGCACGAAAGUUGAAGGAUCUCAUGCUGAAAAGUGACAAUCGAGUGUGUGCUGAUUGUAGUGCACCUGACCCCAAAUGGGCGUCUUCUAAUAUCGGAGUAUUUCUUUGCUUAAAAUGUGGAGACGUCCACAGGGCCCUUGGACAAGACAUUUCAAACGUUUUGUCUUUAACUUUGGAUGAUUGGUCUGAUAGUGAUAUUGACUCCAUGAUUGAGGUUGGUGGAAACUCAUAUGCAAAUUCAAUUUAUGAGGCUUUUCUUCCAAAAGAUCACCCAAAACCUAAACCAGACUCACCAAUGGAAUAUCGUACCAAAUUUAUAAGAGCCAAGUAUGAAACACAAGAUUUUCUGAAGCCAAGUUUGCGCAUUAGCUCAAAGGCAGGUUUAGAAUCUACCAAAUCUCUGAACAGUGUGGAUAAUAGUUUCUCUAGCACUUCAAGGAAGCAUGCCCCAGAAGAUACAAGAGAAUUUGUUGGACAACUGAACAUUACAGUGGUAAAAGGUUCUGGGUUGGCGGUCAGAGAUAUGCUUACAAGUGAUCCUUAUGUUGUUUUAAGUCUUGGAGAGCAGAAGGCUCAAACAACAGUUAAAGCGAGUGACCUGAACCCGGUAUGGAAUGAGGUUCUUAAUCUAUCAGUUCCUCGAAAUUAUGGACCUUUAAAACUUGAAGUGUAUGAUCACGACACUUUCUCUGCUGACGAUAUCAUGGGGGAAGCAGAGAUAGAUCUGAAGCCAAUGAUCACAGCUGCUAUGGCCUUUGGAGACCCGUCGCGUCACGCGGACAUGCAAAUUGGAAGGUGGUUCAUGACCAGAGACAAUUGCCUGUUGAGCGACAGCAUUGUCAAUAUUUCGUCGGGAAAGGUAAAGCAGGAAGUUUACCUAAAGCUGCAGAACGUAGAAUCAGGUGAGAUGGAGUUAGAACUGGAAUGGGCUCGUCUAGAUUAA